rnacentral:lncRNA from 1 species
ACUGAGCAAGAAAAGAUUCGUCGUCGUCAAGAAGGAUUAUGUUUAUAUUGCGGAGAACCUAAGCACACUGCUCAACAUUUUCCAAAGAAACGACGCAACUUUAAAAUGAGGGGUACGACGGUCAAAGAAGACAACAUGUCAGAAAACGGAUUCGUCCAGCUACAAUAGGGACCGUGCAGCUGGAACCUUGUACAAUUCCUAAUGAAGGUCCUAUCCUCUCCUCAGAACCC